rnacentral:rRNA from 1 species
GCUCUGUNCUAAGGGAAGAUAGUGACGGUNNCNUNNGGAGGAAGCCCCGGCUAACUACGUGCCAGCAGCCGCGGUAAUACGUAGGGGGCAAGCGUUAUCCGGAAUCAUUGGGCGUGAAGGGUGCGUAGGCGGCCCUAUGGGUCAGAGGUUUAAGGCUACGGCUCAACCGUAGUAUGCCUUUGAAACUGUAGGGCUUGAGUGCAGGAGAGGAGAGUGGAAUUCCUAGUGUAGCGGUGAAAUGCGUAGAUAUUAGGAGGAACACCAGUGGCGAAGGCGACUCUCUGGACUGCAACUGACGCUGAGGCACGAAAGCGUGGGUAGCGAACAGGAUUAGAUACCCUGGUAGUCCACGCCGUAAACGAUGAGUGCUAGGUGUCGGGGGUCAAACCUCGGUGCCGGAGUUAACGCAUUAAGCACUCCGCCUGGGGAGUACGUACGCAAGUAUGAAACUCAAAGGAAUUGACGGGGACCCGCACAAGCAGCGGAGCAUGUGGUUUAAUUCGAAGCAACGCGAAGAACCUUACCUGGACUUGACAUCCCUCAGACAGUUUCUUAACCGAAACAUUCCCUUCGGGGACUGAGGUGACAGGUGGUGCAUGGUUGUCGUCAGCUCGUGUCGUGAGAUGUUGGGUUAAGUCCCGCAACGAGCGCAACCCUUGUCUUUAGUUGCCAGCAGGUUAAGCUGGGCACUCUAGAGAGACUGCCAAGGUAACUUGGAGGAAGGUGGGGAUGACGUCAAAUCAUCAUGCCCCUUAUGUUCAGGGCUACACACGUGCUACAAUGGCCGAUACAACGGGGAGCUAAAGAGUAAUCUGGAGCAAAUCCUACAAAAUCGGUCCCAGUUCGGAUUGUGGGCUGAAACUCGCCCACAUGAAGUUGGAGUUGCUAGUAAUCGCGGAUCAGAAUGUCGCGGUGAAUGCGUUCCCGGGUCUUGUACACACCGCCCGUCACACCACGGAAGUUGGAAGCACCCGAAGCCAGCUAUCUAACCNU